rnacentral:rRNA from 1 species
UACAGAGGUGGCAAGCGUUGUUCGGAAUUACUGGGCGUAAAGCGCGUGUAGGCGGCUUGGUAAGUCCGUUCUGAAAGCCCGGGGCUCAACCCCGGGAGGCGGAUGGAUACUGUCAAGCUUGAGUCCGGAAGAGGCGAGUGGAAUUCCCGGUGUAGCGGUGAAAUGCGCAGAUAUCGGGAGGAACACCAAUAGCGAAGGCAGCUCGCUGGGACGGUACUGACGCUGAGACGCGAAAGCGUGGGGAGCAAACAGG